rnacentral:rRNA from 1 species
AAUACGUUCCCGGGCCUUGUACACACCGCCCGUCACACCAUGGGAGUGGGUUGCAAAAGAAGUAGGUAGCUUAACCUUCGGGAGGGCGCUUACCACUUUGUGAUUCAUGACUGGGGUGAAGUCGUAAUAAGGUUUGCCGCGCCUGUUCACCGGUAUCCAGAUCGUUAUUUUU